UGGCUCAGUGGUAGAGUGCUUGCCUUGCAUGCAUGAGGCCCUGGGUUCGAUUUCUCAG
rfam:Dipodomys ordii contig_18686, whole genome shotgun sequence.